UACGGAGGGUGCAAGCGUUAUCCGGAUUCACUGGGUUUAAAGGGUGCGUAGGCGGGUUGGUAAGUCCGUGGUGAAAUCCCCAAGCUUAACUUGGGAACUGCCGUGGAUACUAUCAAUUUUGAAUAUCGUGGAGGUAAGCGGAAUAUGUCAUGUAGCGGUGAAAUGCUUAGAUAUGACAUAGAACACCAAUUGCGUAGGCAGCUUACUACACGAUCAUUGACGCUGAGGCACGAAAGCGUGGGGAGCAAACAGG
rnacentral:rRNA from 1 species